CAGUCAAACCACAUCUUUCCUACCUUGUCUUCCUCACUCCCAAUACCAUGUGCUUAGGAGAGUAUUUCUAUUUUUACUCACAAGAAUGCUGUGUAUUCUGUUUUGGCAGCUGAAGGUGACGAUUUGGGUAGGUGUGAAGUGACGCCAAGAGGAUUUGCAACCCUGGUUGAUAAGUUAAUCAGAUUUGGUCCAAUUGUCAUGGUUCUGGAGGGCGGGUACAAUCUGGAUUCCUUAUCCAGUUCUGUUUCUGCGUGUAUUAAGGUUCUUCUUGGUGAUAGAAACUGUAUCCACUCCAAAUUAACAAGCCUACCCUAUGACACAACAGUAAAGUUGGUUUUGGAGACACGUCAAGCAUUUAAAAACAGAUGGCGUGCCUACUUUCGCUAAUCACGUUUGCAAUAUACUCGAGAAUUCUUUUGGUUUAUUAUAAAAUUUUAGAAUUGGU